rnacentral:rRNA from 1 species
UACGUAGGGUGCGAGCGUUGUCCGGAUUUAUUGGGCGUAAAGAGCUCGUAGGCGGUUUGUCGCGUCGGAUGUGAAAACCCAGGGCUCAACCCUGGGCCUGCAUUCGAUACGGGCAGACUAGAGUAUGGCAGGGGAGACUGGAAUUCCUGGUGUAGCGGUGAAAUGCGCAGAUAUCAGGAGGAACACCGGUGGCGAAGGCGGGUCUCUGGGCCAAAACUGACGCUGAGGAGCGAAAGCGUGGGGAGCGAACAGG